AGUUGGCUGCGACCAGCGGUGACUUACAAGUUGGCUGCUGUCGCCUGCGCAUCGGCGGGCCGGGAGGCUGAGCAGUACUGUUGAGAGCGGUGUGAGGUGUUUGGUAGCGCGCCGUGGCUGCUUCCACGUCCUUGCUUCACCUCAGGUAAAGAAAGAUGUAACUGUUUGGAGAAAACCCUCAGAAGAAUUUAAUGGAUAUCUCUACAAAGCCCAAGGUGUUAUAGAUGACCUUGUCAAUAGUAUAAUAGACCAUAUACGCCCAGGGCCUUGUCGUUUGGAUUGGGACAGCUUGAUGACUUCUUUGGAUAUUCUGGAGAACUUUGAAGAGAAUUGCUGUGUGAUGCGUUACACUACUGCUGGUCAGCUUUGGAAUAUAAUUUCCCCAAGAGAAUUUGUUGAUUUCUCCUAUACUGUGGGCUAUAAAGAAGGGCUUUUAUCUUGUGGUAAUAAUCUCAACAUGUUAUGCUUUUUUUCAGUAUGGUUUAAAUAUUUGUGUUUUCUUGGCUGGAUGUUUCUUUCCUUGUGAGAUAUAUUUUCAACUCUGACUCUGUAAUCACUAACAUUUUUUGCAAAUGCUAAACUCUAGGGAGUAAAAUAGCAAUAUCAGAAGAGUUUUGAAACCCUUCUGAUAAGUUUUUGUUCCCAGUUACACAGUAUCCUCUAGGUCAGAGGUAGCAAAUGUGGAUCACAUGACUGCCUCUAAGAAAGGGUUCUAGUAAAUGGAUUUUCUUCUAAGCCACUCUCAGAAAACAGUUUCUUGGUCAUACACAUAGAAGUACUAGAUUUGGUGUGUCUUAGAAUAUUCUUCCUUCCUUGAGCUGUGUUGUAUUUUUCUUUUCAAGAUUAAAAAUACUGCCAUUGGAAGGCUCCUGUUUUCUAAAACGUACCUAUAGGUAAAUUAAUAUUAUUUUGUAUAUAGUAUAUACUUAAGUUAGCAGUUGUAAGUAAACAUCUACUUGUUUAUUCUUAACUAGCCAGUAC
rnacentral:sRNA from 1 species